rnacentral:rRNA from 1 species
UACGUAGGGUGCGAGCGUUAAUCGGAAUUACUGGGCGUAAAGCGUGCGCAGGCGGUCUUGUAAGCCAGAUGUGAAAGCCCCGGGCUCAACCUGGGAAUGGCAUUUGGGACUGCAAGGCUUGAGUGCGGCAGAGGAGACUGGAAUUCCUGGUGUAGCAGUGAAAUGCGUAGAUAUCAGGAGGAAUACCGAUGGCGAAGGCAGGUCUCUGGGCUGACACUGACGCUCAUGCACGAAAGCGUGGGGAGCAAACAGG